AGAGUUUGAUCAUGGCUCAGAUUGAACGCUGGCGGCAGGCCUAACACAUGCAAGUCGAACGGUAACAGGAAGCAGCUUGCUGCUUUGCUGACGAGUGGCGGACGGGUGAGUAAUGUCUGGGAAACUGCCUGAUGGAGGGGGAUAACUACUGGAAACGGUGGCUAAUACCGCAUAACGUCGCAAGACCAAAGAGGGGGACCUUCGGGCCUCUUGCCAUCAGAUGUGCCCAGAUGGGAUUAGCUUGUUGGUGAGGUAACGGCUCACCAAGGCGACGAUCCCUAGCUGGUCUGAGAGGAUGACCAGCCACACUGGAACUGAGACACGGUCCAGACUCCUACGGGAGGCAGCAGUGGGGAAUAUUGCACAAUGGGCGCAAGCCUGAUGCAGCCAUGCCGCGUGUAUGAAGAAGGCCUUCGGGUUGUAAAGUACUUUCAGCGGGGAGGAAGGUGUUGCGGUUAAUAACCGCAGCAAUUGACGUUACCCGCAGAAGAAGCACCGGCUAACUCCGUGCCAGCAGCCGCGGUAAUACGGAGGGUGCAAGCGUUAAUCGGAAUUACUGGGCGUAAAGCGCACGCAGGCGGUCUGUCAAGUCGGAUGUGAAAUCCCCGGGCUCAACCUGGGAACUGCAUUCGAAACUGGCAGGCUUGAGUCUUGUAGAGGGGGGUAGAAUUCCAGGUGUAGCGGUGAAAUGCGUAGAGAUCUGGAGGAAUACCGGUGGCGAAGGCGGCCCCCUGGACAAAGACUGACGCUCAGGUGCGAAAGCGUGGGGAGCAAACAGGAUUAGAUACCCUGGUAGUCCACGCCGUAAACGAUGUCUACUUGGAGGUUGUGCCCUUGAGGCGUGGCUUCCGGAGCUAACGCGUUAAGUAGACCGCCUGGGGAGUACGGCCGCAAGGUUAAAACUCAAAUGAAUUGACGGGGGCCCGCACAAGCGGUGGAGCAUGUGGUUUAAUUCGAUGCAACGCGAAGAACCUUACCUGGUCUUGACAUCCACGGAAGUUUUCAGAGAUGGAAUGUGCCUUCGGGAACCGUGAGACAGGUGCUGCAUGGCUGUCGUCAGCUCGUGUUGUGAAAUGUUGGGUUAAGUCCCGCAACGAGCGCAACCCUUAUCCUUUGUUGCCAGCGAUUAGGUCGGGAACUCAAAGGAGACUGCCAGUGAUAAACUGGAGGAAGGUGGGGAUGACGUCAAGUCAUCAUGGCCCUUACGACCAGGGCUACACACGUGCUACAAUGGCGCAUACAAAGAGAAGCGACCUCGCGAGAGCAAGCGGACCUCAUAAAGUGCGUCGUAGUCCGGAUUGGAGUCUGCAACUCGACUCCAUGAAGUCGGAAUCGCUAGUAAUCGUGGAUCAGAAUGCCACGGUGAAUACGUUCCCGGGCCUUGUACACACCGCCCGUCACACCAUGGGAGUGGGUUGCAAAAGAAGUAGGUAGCUUAACCUUCGGGAGGGCGCUUACCACUUUGUGAUUCAUGACUGGGGUGAAGUCGUAACAAGGUAACCGUAGGGGAACCUGCGGUUG
rnacentral:rRNA from 1 species